rnacentral:rRNA from 1 species
UACGUAGGGGGCAAGCGUUGUCCGGAAUUAUUGGGCGUAAAGGGCUCGUAGGCGGUUUGUCGCGUCGGGAGUGAAAUCCACUGGCUUAACUGGUGGCUUGCUUUCGAUACGGGCAGACUGGAGGUAUGCAGGGGAGAACGGAGUUCCUGGUGUAGCGGUGAAAUGCGCAGAUAUCAGGAGGAACACCGGUGGCGAAGGCGGCAUCCUGGACCGGUAUUGACGCUGAUGCGCGAAAGCCAGGGGAGCAAACGGG